GUAAAUAUAGUUUAAACAAAACACUAGAUUGUGAGUCUAGUAAUAGAGACUAACCCCCUCUUAUUUACC
rnacentral:tRNA from 1 species